rnacentral:tmRNA from 1 species
GGGGGUGUAAAGGUUUCGACGGGGAUUCUGAGGCAAGAUAAGCGUGGCGAGCUGGGUAAUCUCGUAAACUGCCCGAUUCAAAAAAUAAACGACAACGAUACCGUUGCUAUGGCUGCCUGAGUUUUGCGCUUCGGCGUAAAACUUGGCAGUGCCGUGACCUGCGGGUCACCCGUUCCUCUGCGGAGUACUGCGACCGCGGACUGAGCGUCAAAUGAGCAGUGAACCUGCACCGGCGGUUCGCCCUUGAACCGGUCAGGCAUAAAAGGGCUACCCGGACGGAGAGUGUGUCUGUUCACGCUCCCGAAGGGGAAUCUGAAAUAACAGACUGUCCACGAAGAAGGUUUUGUCAAGGGAUUUUCGGACAUGGGUUCGACUCCCAUCAUCUCCACCA